rnacentral:rRNA from 1 species
UACGAAGGGGACUAGCGUUGUUCGGAAUUACUGGGCGUAAAGCGCACGUAGGCGGAUUGCUAAGUCAGGGGUGAAAUCCCGGGGCUCAACCUCGGAACUGCCUUUGAUACUGACAAUCUCGAGUCCGAUAGAGGUGGGUGGAAUUCCUAGUGUAGAGGUGAAAUUCGUAGAUAUUAGGAAGAACACCGGUGGCGAAGGCGGCCCACUGGAUCGGUACUGACGUGAGGUGCGAAAGCGUGGGGAGCAAACAGG